GACGUAGGAUGCAAGCGUUGUCCGGAAUUAUUGGGCGUAAAGCGUACGUAGGCGGUUUCCUAAGUCUGGGGUUAAAGACCGAGGCUCAACCUCGGGAGUGCCCUGGAAACUGGGAGGCUGGAGGACGGCAGAGGAAAGUGGAAUUCCCAGUGUAGCGGUGAAAUGCGUAGAUAUUGGGAGGAACACCAGUGGCGAAAGCGACUUUCUGGGCCGUUCCUGACGCUGAGGUACGAAAGCUAGGGGAGCAAACGGG
rnacentral:rRNA from 1 species